rnacentral:lncRNA from 1 species
CCAACACACAGAGGACUAAAGCAGAGGUGAUGAACCCAAGUUGAUGCUCGACCCUGCCACCUUUGGCACCCUGGUUGGAAAGCUGUGAGGGCAUGCUGCUUCUGUAUUCUCAGGCAUGCUGUGUGGGCACUGCCAGCCAGCUUCAGAGAUGGGUCCAGGUCCUUCUAAACAUGUUAGUUGAUGCCCAACCUCUGGGGACACAAUUUCUUUCUGCAGUGGAUUCAUGACCUAACCUGGGCAAAUGAGCCUUGAGAAGACAUUUGCUAGAAGCUCAUGGAAAAGAAACUUCCUUGCUUUUCUGAAAAAGCUACUGAGAGAGCCCCUUUACUCUUUCUACAGGAUCUGGAGGAGGAAGCAGGCAGGCCCUGGGUCUACUGGCAACCAUCUUGUGAUCAUGAGUUGAGACUAUAUUACCAGGAAAUGAUCCCUACAGAAGGCAGAGUGCAGAGAGGAAGAAAACAAUCUGAGGACAUUAUUGAGUGCUGUAUUAAGCGCAGCAAAUUACAUGGGCCAAUAAAUACCUUUUCUUUCUUAA